CUUUAUGCAUCUUCAUAAGAUUUCUGUGAUAUUUUGUUCUAGGUACGUCAUUUCAAGGUCAAUGAAUACUAUAGGUAAGUCAUCUUUUUCCUUUUUAUAUUUUCUUAUUAGUCUCCUCACAAGAUAAUAUAUAAAUUUUCGAUUAAUAACAUGGCAUGAAUCUGAAUUGAUUCUAAAAGUGGAUAGAUACCCCGUAUCACUCACAUUUUCAUCGCCUUUUCUAAAAAACAUUACUGUAUAUAAGCUAAUAUUAACUAUACUGCUUGUGAAUAAUAUUACCAAAGUUCCGAUCAAUUAACUUCUCAAUUAAAAUGUUCUAUAAAAUAAUAUCCAAAAAUUACAUUAUUUCGUUAGAACAUUCUAUUAUGAAUUAAAAACUAAAUAAAAAAAAAAAAAAAAAAAAGCGCGAAAAGGCACUCUGUUAUUUUCGGUACGGACGACAAUUUCCGGUUAACCCAUUCUCCGCGAAUUCCAAAAAUAUCCCCACUUUCCUGCUCUUAACAAGCUGGUAAAUCACGUAAUUAUCUCCAACUUUAAGGGUCAAAUUCUGUUCCGUCACUCCUCAGUCCUCACACCCUUCUUCUCUUCUUCCAUUCCCCUGUUUCCCAUACAGCAGAAAAAUGACAGUACGAAAUCGAAAUUUCUAUAUAGUAAAUGAUUCCACAAAUAUGGUUGCAAAAAAUGAACCGUCAAAUGCAAGCGAUGAACGUGGAUAUCCACUUUUCCGGCGACGGCGAGGAAGUUCCGGCGGGAAAUGAGAAGGCGGUUGGAAAUUUUCCGGUUGGAUACGAAGGUCCGGUGGAUAGUGUUAAGGUCACGAUGCCUCAUCAAACAGUUUGUAGUGCUUCUGAUGUCGUUGCUCUGCAAAAUCGAGAGACUGAUUUUGAUCAACUCACUAUAUCGUUUCGUGGCAAAAUUUAUGUAUUUGAUGGCGUUACUACUCAAAAGGUCCAUUCGCUUUUUAAACUUUUGGGUGGAUAUGAGUAUUCUCCAGGCACACAAGCUUUAGGUUUGUUGAGUGCAAACCAGAAGGAUUAUGUGGACCAUCCAGUGCACUGUGCAGAUCCAAAAAGACUUGAAUCCCUCAUUAGAUUUUAUGAGAAGAGGAAAAAGAGAUGCUAUGAAAAGAAAAUCAGAUAUGGUAUCCGCCAAGAAGUUGCGUUCAGAAUGAAGCGUAAGAAUGGCCUAUUUGCUCGAAAAGGUUCGAAUGGACCAAAACAGGAGAACAUCCCUUCAGAAGAAACUCGGUGCAUCCAUUGCGGAACUAGUUCAAAGGCCACCCCUAUGAUGAGGCGUGGUCCUGAUGGCCAAAGGAAUCUUUGCAAUGCAUGUGGCCUCACUUGGGCAAAUAAGGGGAUAAUGAGGACUCUCUAUAAGGCAUCCUAUGACAAUACUGAGCUCGAACUAGAGAAUGAAGAUUGCAACGAAACCAACUAUGAAGCUCCUCAAUGUUCCGCCUCUUAUCAAGUUUCUUCAUCAGUCUGCCAGUGAUCUUGAUGCCUUAGAAAGAAAGCCAUACUGUAUCAACAUAUCUUCUUCUCAUCCAACUGAAAGAUUAUAUAUACAUACUACAGAUUAACAGCUUAGCUAAAAUUUGUUCGUGAAAGCUAAGGAUCUCUCUCAUGCCACUUGUAUUUACGGGUGUUGAAGUUCUCUAGGAAUUUGCAGUUUUGCAAUCAAGACCUGAUAUGUUAAGCAGUAUUUUUUAAUUCAUAAUUUGAUCUUUUGACAAAUCCAACAUCUAGAUUAAGCUUCGUAUUGACUUAAACCCGACAUGUUUGAACCUUUGGUAUAUUGAACUUUGCCUCUUUGGAUAAUCAUAAUGAAGAAUGAUCAUAUUAUCUAUACUUUCA